UCUUGAUGUCGCCGAUGUUUGUCUGUUGUACCACAUAUUUUAAUAUUAUAAAAUUUGUAUUUACAUUGAAAAGUUCCAGACUAGUGGGAAUCACAAUGGACCUACAGUGAGCACCCUGGCAAGGAAUAUGUUCAAGCUUAUAGCUUCCAGCUAUUGCUGGAAAAUGGAAAUUUCUAUAAUGAUAUGGAGGCCAACAAAGACUCCAGAGCAUGUCUGGCAGCGCCUCAUAGGGCUAUCCUGCCCUCGACUCCCAGUCUACCAGCCGCGCCGGUCCGUCGCCUAAUCACAACUCCAACCCGGUCAACCGCAACAGGAGCCACAAGAAUGUGAGGUGGUGCUGGAGAUGAAGGUGAUCGAAGCCAACUUAUACACCCGCGAACUGAUGCGGUGGAAAAAACUUUGGUCUUUUUUUAACAUUAAUUUUAUAACUUUAUUUGCUUAGACUGAUUUGAAAUAUUUUUUAUUGAAAGUGUAUAAUGUAUAUAGAGAUUUGUCCGAUUUUUGUUAAAAUAAAAAAUAAUAAAAUUAUACGCAAAGUAUAUUUUAUUGAAU